CCGGGAUAACUCACGGAAACGUGGGCUAAUACCGGAUAGGCGAUUUCCUCGCAUGAGGGAAUCGGGAAAGGCGGAGCAAUCUGCCACUUAUGGAUGGACCUACGGCGCAUUAGCUAGUUGGUGGGGUAACGGCUCACCAAGGCGACGAUGCGUAGCCGACCUGAGAGGGUGAUCGGCCACACUGGGACUGAGACACGGCCCAGACUCCUACGGGAGGCAGCAGUAGGGAAUCUUCCGCAAUGGACGCAAGUCUGACGGAGCAACGCCGCGUGAGUGAUGAAGGUUUUCGGAUCGUAAAGCUCUGUUGCCAGGGAAGAACGCUAUGGAGAGUAACUGUUCCAUAGGUGACGGUACCUGAGAAGAAAGCCCCGGCUAACUACGUGCCAGCAGCCGCGGUAAUACGUAGGGGGCAAGCGUUGUCCGGAAUUAUUGGGCGUAAAGCGCGCGCAGGCGGUCAUGUAAGUCUGGUGUUUAAACCCGGGGCUCAACUCCGGGUCGCAUCGGAAACUGUGUGACUUGAGUGCAGAAGAGGAAAGUGGAAUUCCACGUGUAGCGGUGAAAUGCGUAGAGAUGUGGAGGAACACCAGUGGCGAAGGCGACUUUC
rnacentral:rRNA from 1 species